CUCGACAAAGCCCACGCCGCGCCCUCGCCCUCGCCCUCGCCCCCCUGCCUAGGGCUCCGCGCCGCCCCGAGGAGAGGAGAACGCGCGCGCGCGCGCGCGCGCCAUUGCGGAUCCAAACGCUCCGCCGCCUCAACUCCCUCGUCAAUUCACCUCCGCCGCCGCCGCCGCGCCGCUUCGAACACGAUGGAUCUACUGAGACACCCCUUCAAGGGAGUUGUCACUGAUAUCAAAGGAAGGGCCACUUGGUACAAGCAUGAUUGGGUUGCAGGACUCCACUCUGGCUUUAGGAUAUUGGCACCUACCAUGUAUAUCUUCUUUGCCUCUGCUCUCCCUGUCAUUGCCUUCGGAGCACAACUGAGCACGGCAACAAAUGGAAUACUCUCAACAGUUGAAACACUGGCAUCGACUGCGAUAUGUGGCAUCAUACAUUCAAUUCUUGGAGGGCAGCCUUUGUUGAUUGUUGGAGUUGCCGAACCAACUAUUAUCAUGUACACUUAUCUCUACAAUUUUGCCAAGAAUCAUCAAGCUCUGGGUGAGCAGCUAUAUUUGGCGUGGACAGGAUGGGUCUGCAUCUGGACUGCCAUCAUGUUGUUUCUUUUGGCAACGUUCAAUGCUUCCAACGUUAUUAGCAGAUUUACAAGGAUUGCAGGAGAACUUUUUGGCAUGUUAAUCACUGUUCUCUUCUUGCAAGAAGCUAUCAAGGGGAUGAUAAGUGAAUUUAGUGUGCCCGAAGACGCUGACAGCAGUUCACCAAUAUACCAAUUCCAGUGGCUCUAUGUCAAUGGCCUACUCGGUGUCAUAUUUUCAAUUGGCUUGCUGUACACUGCAUUGAGGACCAGGCGAGCAAGGUCAUGGCUCUAUGGCACAGGGUGGUUUAGAAGCUUCAUAGCUGAUUACGGCGUCCCACUUAUGGUGAUUGUGUGGACAGGAUUGUCGUAUUUACAUCCAGGCAAGGUGCCUUCAGGAGUCCCCAGGAGGCUUUCUUCUCCACUUCCCUGGGAGUCAAGUUCACUGGGACACUGGACCACAGCAAGGGAUUUGUUUUCUGUCCCUCCAGCAUAUAUAUUUGGAGCCAUUCUGCCUGCUUUUAUGGUUGCAGGACUUUACUUCUUUGAUCACAGCGUAGCUUCACAGUUGGCACAGCAAAAAGAGUAUAAUUUGAAGAAGCCUUCUGCCUACCACUAUGACAUUUUGGUCCUUGGAUUCGUGGUCCUGCUCUGCGGUUUGCUUGGUAUCCCUCCAUCUAAUGGAGUGCUUCCUCAGUCUCCCAUGCACACAAAAAGUCUUGCUGUCCUUAAGAGGCAGUUGCUAAGCAAAAAGAUGGUUGAUACUGCCAAGGAGAGCAUAGGAGGAAGUGCUACCAGUUUGGAAAUAUAUGGCAAGAUGGAAGAAGUUUUCAUCAAAAUGGAUAGCGAACAGAAUACUGAUUCUGUUGACAGGGAGUUGAAGAACUUCAAGGAUGCUGUUCUGCAAGAAGGCGACGAAGAAGGGAGAUUGGCUAGAGAAUUUGACCCUCGCAAACAUAUAGAAGCCCACUUGCCUGUCCGAGUGAACGAACAGAGACUGAGCAAUCUGCUGCAGUCCAUACUGGUUGGUGGGUGUGUUGGAGCUAUGCCAGUCAUCAGGAUGAUACCCACAUCGGUCCUCUGGGGUUACUUUGCCUACAUGGCCAUCGACAGUCUACCAGGGAAUCAGUUCUGGGAGAGGAUACAGCUUCUGUUCAUUACAGAAAGCCGACGCUACAAGGUUCUUGAAGGUCCCCAUGCAUCGUUUGUGGAGUCAGUGGUUCCCAAAACAGUAACCAUCUUCACGAUCUUCCAGUUGGUUUACCUCCUAAUAUGCUUCGGCAUAACGUGGAUACCGAUAGCCGGGAUCCUGUUCCCAGUGCCUUUCUUCCUCAUGAUCGUCAUCAGGCAGUAUCUCCUCCCAAAAUUUUUUGAUCCCGUCGUCUUGAGGGAGCUCGAUGCAGCUGAGUACGAAGAACUUGACGGGGUCCCCCUUGAACACAAACUGGAAGAUGAAGCAUCUGAAGUAGGAAGUUGUCCUAGCCGUCCUGAUGCGGAGAUAUUGGAUGAACUCACGACCAACCGCGGAGAGCUGAAGCACAGAAGUUCUAGCCUGCGUGAAGAAAGACCAAUUCAAGUGACAGUGAGCACGCAUAUGGAGCCAACCGGUUGAAUUUUUUGGGCUCUUUUCUUUUCUCUGGGAUAACAAGUAGUCAAGUACGCACCACGCAUGUCAGUGGCUGCUUUCCGCCUAACAUAGGAAGAUUUUCACAGGCUAGUUCGAGUUGCUUCAAGUGCGGUUCAGCCAAGCCUGUGAAGACGGCGAAGUGUUCUUUUUAUCCGUAGAAUUAUGAUCCUCAAGCUGCACUCCGUUGAUGUGAAUACUGUUGCUAUGUAAUGUACUGCUACUACUAGUGUUGUACUUGGGUUUUUGACCCAAACGCGUCUGUUGGUAAGGGGUGAUUUGUAAGAACAGGGACUUACGUAAACUACGUAGGAUCGAUUGGUAAGAAGAGAGGGAGAGAGGAGAUGCAAUACAAGUCUUCUUGGAUAUGAAAGGGGGAAUGCCGAAGGGGCAUGGAGUAGAAUAAUAUCAUAUAUUGUCAUU